GCAGGCACGGAGUUAAUGACCAUAAAACAAAAACGUAAUAAUGAGGAGCUCCGCUUUUAGGCUUGGCUAAAUCUAUAUGCAUUUGUUUCUCUCAAAACAAGGUCA